rnacentral:lncRNA from 1 species
GCUCGGUCAGGCGCGGUCGGACCGGGCCGGUUCGGCCCUUUUGGCCGGACCGGGCCGGUUUUCUCUUUUUUUUCCUUUAGCCUUUUCUUUUUCUGUUUUUCUCAUUUCUAUGAUAACUUUUGAUUUUGAACUCCAAAUUGGUCCAAAUAAAUUCUAGAAAAUUUGUAAAAUCAUGUUUUAUUACGAUUCAAAUUUUGGGAGUAAUUUCCCUUCAAAAUAAAAUAUCUAAAAAUACAUUUGCUCUAUAAAUGCCUUUAGGGCUAUAUAACUAAUUAAACAAAAUAGUUUUUCAACUCCAAAUAAUUGUCCAAAAAUUAUGGGAUAGUUUAUUUAUGCAAUAAACCCCUUUUAUUAAUAAACCCUAUUGGUUUGAAGAUCCAAAGCUCAGAUGGGUGUAAACCCUAGGGUUUAAAUUGAAAUAAAUCUUUUCAAAGCCUUUUGAGAUUCAAAUUUGAAUUCAAAAGUGCAACUGUGGGAUGAUGCUUAUGGAUGCAAUGCAACUGUAAAAGUUUGAAAUUUUGGGAUGUUA